GGCUCUAGGCGAGAUUCGAACCCACACCCCUUGCUUACUGCGCAAUUAUGCUGCCACUUACAUUACUGGGGC